rnacentral:rRNA from 1 species
UACGUAGGGUGCGAGCGUUGUCCGGAAUUACUGGGCGUAAAGAGCUCGUAGGUGGUUUGUCGCGUUGUUCGUGAAAACUCACAGCUCAACUGUGGGCGUGCGGGCGAUACGGGCAGACUGGAGUACUGCAGGGGAGACUGGAAUUCCUGGUGUAGCGGUGGAAUGCGCAGAUAUCAGGAGGAACACCGGUGGCGAAGGCGGGUCUCUGGGCAGGAACUGACGCUGAGGAGCGAAAGCGUGGGGAGCGAACAGG